AUAGGUACUGUAUGUGGAUCGGUAGGUACUGUAUGUGGAUCGGUAGGUACUGUAUGUGGAUCGGUAGGUACUGUAUGUGGAUCGGUAGGUACUGUAUGUGGAUCGGUAGGUACUGUAUGUGGAUCGGUAGGUACUGUAUGUGGAUCGGUAGGUACUGUAUGUGGAUCGGUAGGUACUGUAUGUGGAUCGGUAGGUACUGUAUGUGGAUCGGUAGGUACUGUAUGUGGAUCGGUAGGUACUGUAUGUGGAUCGGUAGGUACUGUAUGUGGAUCGGUAGG